rnacentral:rRNA from 1 species
UACAGAGGUCCCAAGCGUUGUUCGGAUUCACUGGGCGUAAAGGGUGCGUAGGUGGCCAGGUAAGUUUGGUGUGAAAGCUCGGAGCUCAACUCCGAAAUGGCAUUGAAUACUAUCUGGCUGGAGGGUCGGAGGGGAGACUGGAAUUCUCGGUGUAGCAGUGAAAUGCGUAGAUAUCGAGAGGAACACCAAUGGCGAAGGCAGUUUGCUGGGAUGUAUCUGACGCUAAGGCACGAAAGCGUGGGGAGCGAACAGG